rnacentral:rRNA from 1 species
GACGAACGCUGGCGGCGUGCUUAACACAUGCAAGUCGAACGGUGAAAGCGGAGCUUGCUCCGCUGGAUCAGUGGCGAACGGGUGAGUAACACGUGGGCAACCUGCCCCUCACUUCGGGAUAACUCCGGGAAACCGGGGCUAAUACCGGAUACGACCUUUGCGGGCCUCUGCGAGGGUGGAAAGCUUUUCGGUGAGGGAUGGGCCCGCGGCCUAUCAGCUUGUUGGGGAGGUAGUGGCUCACCAAGGCGACGACGGGUAGCCGGCCUGAGAGGGCGACCGGCCACACUGGGACUGAGACACGGCCCAGACUCCUACGGGAGGCAGCAGUGGGGAAUAUUGCGCAAUGGGCGAAAGCCUGACGCAGCAACGCCGCGUGCGGGAUGACGGCCUUCGGGUUGUAAACCGCUUUCAGCAGGGAAGAAGCCGCAAGGUGACGGUACCUGCAGAAGAAGCACCGGCUAACUACGUGCCAGCAGCCGCCGUAA